rnacentral:rRNA from 1 species
AUUGAACGCUGGCGGCAUGCUUUACACAUGCCAGUCGAACGGCAGCGCGGGCUUCGGCCUGGCGGCGAGUGGCGAACGGGUGAGUAAUGCAUCGGAACGUGCCCAGUAGUGGGGGAUAGCCCGGCGAAAGCCGGAUUAAUACCGCAUACGACCUGAGGGUGAAAGCGGGGGACCGAAAGGCCUCGCGCUAUUGGAGCGGCCGAUGUCGGAUUAGCUAGUUGGUGGGGUAAAGGCUUACCAAGGCGACGAUCCGUAGCUGGUCUGAGAGGACGACCAGCCACACUGGAACUGAGACACGGCCCAGACUCCUACGGGAGGCAGCAGUGGGGAAUUUUGGACAAUGGGGGCAACCCUGAUCCAGCCAUGCCGCGUGCGGGAAGAAGGCCUUCGGGUUGUAAACCGCUUUUGUUCGGGAAGAAAUCCUCUGGGCUAAUACCCCGGGGGGAUGACGGUACCGGAAGAAUAAGCACCGGCUAACUACGUG